UUUCGACAGGGUUUCCCUGUGUAGCUUUGCGCCUUUCCUGGGACUCACUCGGUAGCCCAGGCUGGCCUCGAACUCACAGAGAUCCGCCUGGCUCUGCCUCCCGAGUGCUGGGAUUAAAGGCGUGCGCCACCACCGCCCGGCCAAUAGCUUCUUUUCAAAGCCGGGCAAUGUUUCUUACAUUAUCUUUCUGAUUCACAUAAAGACACUAACUGUUUAGCCUUCCUGUUAUACCCUCCCCCACCAUCCCUAAGCCCACAGGAUGGAAACUGCAGACCUUCCCUUUUACUGUGCCUUAUCUGCUAGGACCUCCCCUCCAGACACUGCAUGCACCUGCAACGUCGGGUCCCAGCUUUCUGUUCCGGUGGAAAUGGCAGAGUCGGGGAAAUGGGAGAGUAGAAGGGUAAUAAUCUUGUUUUUUUUUCCCUCCCUAUAACAAAAUAUUACAGACAAGAUAAUUAUAAAGAAGAAUAUUUUAUCUCUUACAAUCAAGAGGCUGGGGUGCUCCAGAGUGAGAGGUUCUCAUCUGUCUAAGGCCUUCAUGUUACAUCAUGCUAAGUGAGAAGGUAGAAGGCCAAGGAGCUUCCUCUACAUCUGCCCACAGCCUUGCCUGCUGUCCCUGCCUCUCUGAGUCUCCUUUGUUUUGAGGCAGGACCUUGUUCUCCAGUUGGUCUGGUACUUCCUGUGUAGCCCAGGCUGACCUUGAGCUUGUGGCCGUUCCUGAGGGCUGGGAGUCUAGAUGCACUCCGCCAUGCCUGGUCAUUGUCUCCUCAUUAACGUCUCUUUAGAGCUUCUGCCUGUUCCCUGCCGGGACCUGACCCAGUGCCUUCCUAAGCCACAGGUUCCUGGACACGGUUCAGUUCUCUUCUCCAGUGUCCACCGCCAUGCAUAUGAAUCCCCCUCCCCUGACUCUGUUUCCCCUAGUCCCUGCCUGUCCUCUCCCAGCUGUUUCCACUCCUUUUGUUUUUAGCUUACAUGUAGUGCUCGCACUGAGCACGGCUACAAACAGCAGGUGCUCAUCUGGUUGUUGAUUUGAAAAUUGAAUAUUUAUUGACUGUCUCCAUGUAUGAGGACCGGUGGGCAACUCUCUCUCUCCUGUAUCUGAGAGUGUGACCCUCAGAGAAGCUAGCUGCUGUGCCAAGGCACCCAGCUGGGGCUGAAGUCAAGUCUCCUGCCUGAGCUCUUCCUUCCUCAGGCCCUGUCAGUGGAGCACUUCUUGUUUUGCUGAACUUGACUUGAACUCAGCAGAAGGUUGGUGUGUUCUAAAAACAGCUAACAUGACUUCAGGGGUUUGAACUGUAGUAGCAUGCUUUUUGCUAACUCAUUCAUCAGAGACACUUGCCUGCCUCUGACUUUGAGCCCCUGUAAUUCACUGCGAUUCUAAAAAUUACCCCUGGCUCCCUAAAGGGCUCAAUUUUAGACUCACGGUGUCUUGACAGUACACGACUCAUUUAAAUCUAGAGCAGCAGGACUUUUUUCUUUUUAUAUCAGAAAUUGGAAGUAGGAAUCACUGUAUUUUAUUCCCUACAAAAAGAUGUCGAUAAAGCUUUAUCAAGUGUAGGACCAGAUACAGCCAGGACUGUGGCUGCUGUCCUGAAAACGUCAUUGUUAUUCAAUCAGCUCCUUAAAGAGCAGAGAAGAGGAAGGAGUCACAGUGUGGGCAUCAUAGAUCCAGUUUCAAAAGCUAGCUGGGUGACCUUGGCACUCGCCCUAACUCCCCAGCCUCGGCUUCCUCACCUGUGUGUGACUGGACACGAGAGAUGAGCAAAGGAGACAGAGUGUUCUCAGCAAUGCCCGUGAUUCAGCCGCUAAACCUAGCCUGGCACUUUAGCAGAGACCACAAUGUCACUUUGGAGAAAACCGGAAUCACUGUUGCUGACAGAGUAGGAGCAGAGUGCUGGGUGAGAAAGAUCCUGGAAUAAAACCGUGAGGCAGAGAUGCCCAGGACCAGGUUAUCCUGGGACACUACUUGGGUUGAGACACCCACAGCCCUUUCCUUACCCAGGACCCUCACCCUCAGGGAGCUGCACACACACCCCUUUCCCAAGAAGGCAAUCAGGUCACUUUGACCUAGCUACUCUUAGUUAAUUCUUUUUCUGUGACUAAACAGCUUCUCAAAACUAUCUAGGGACCAGUGGCAGAGUGCUGAUCCAGCCUGGGCUGGUUUGGUACACUUUCAGCAGGUCACACUGUGUCCUGUAAGCGAACUUUUAGGGGAAAUCCCUAUUUACCAUCUCAUGACUAUGGGCAUGCGUAUGAUUAAAGCCAGAUGCAUUAGGGGUAAGGACGUGCACAGUGAACAAAGGCUUACUUAACAGAAGCCUGUCAGUUAAAACAAAGACCACCUAUAUCUCACCCUUAGCAACAAAGAGGCCCCAGGCCAUUACCAGGUGUUUCGGAAUACUUUAUCUCAGACAGUCCCUGCUCUUUUGCCAAGUAUGGACUCUGUACUUACUACACCUAACCUUGAACGAAAUCCCUCCAUACCUGUGGGAUUUUUAAACAAGAUACCAAGAUCCUGGAAACACCACUCUCCAGACAGAGACCGUUGGCAGCACACUAGGGCCCAGUGCAGAGGACCAUGAGUGGUGGUGGGAGCCGUCCUCGGCCUUGGGUGGACAAGGAGCCCGGUGACCCUUGUUUCUUGAAGAGCAGUGUUGCUUCUGUUUGUCAGAACCUUCCUGAAGGCAGACUUGGAUUUUCGAGGAAGCUGCUCAGAUACACGCACUGAAAGGCCUCCUGUGAAGUCACCACCUUGGCUGAGUUUCUCUGUGAGAGGGAGGAAGCAAAAGUGGCUGUUUGGAGAUCCCCUCACUGCACUUGCGAGCGUGAGGAGCCUGUGAGCGUCAGGAGCUUCUGCAUCCCACGGCUAAACCCCAGAUGUAAUGACAGACCGGCAUACAUGCUCUAACAUCACCAGCACAGGGCUCUGCCAAUGUGCGCCCCAGAGGGAAGAUAAAAUUCCUGGACUUCGAACCCCCAAAACCACGAGCUGAAUUCUCUCUCCCCCUCGCCCCCUUUUUAAAACAUUCUGGGAUUGAACCUACGGCCCUGUACAUGCUAGGACUGGCUUAUGUAGCCUGGUUUAUCCUUGAACUCACUAUGGUGGCCGUGGCUGAUCUUGAACUUCUGACUCACCUUUCUCUGCCUGCCUAAGUCCUGGGAUUAUAUGUCUGGGCCACUAUGCCAGGCUUAUUUUACAUAUUUCGUUUAAAUUUAUUUAUUUGUUUAUGUGUGCCAUAUGUGUGGAGGUCAGAGGAGAAUUAGCAGGAGGAGGACCUUCUACCACGUGGGGCCCAGGGAUUGAAUUCAGGUCAUCAGGCUUGAGGGCCAAUGCCUUUACCCACCACACCAUCUACUUUAUAGGCCCACAUUUUAGAAAUUUUGAUGAAUUUUAUUAAGGAUGUGCAAUUUUAGGGUUGCUGAUUACUGCUAACCUGUUUAUCUUUAAUGACUCAGUUGAUCAAAGUUCAUUUCAUUUUACAUUAAUUUAUUCAUUAGAUUGUAUAAGUUUGACAACACUUAGCACAAGAUCUUGAAAUUUGAACUUUUUUCAGUCUUCAUAGAAUGCUGCAGAAAAUCUUAUUUUAUUUCACAAAAUUCCCAUGACACCUUGUUCUGUGUGGAAAUUAAAAACAUCGCACAAAACUGUCUUCAGGCUGUGUAUGAAAGGUAAAGGAAUCUGACUCGGUCCCACCUCUAAGGUGUUUCAUUGUGUUGCUGCAAACAUUCCACCUCCCCACCCCCUACCCUUGACCCCUGCCACCCACAACUGAAACACCUGUUGGUAUUUCAGAUAAGGGCUUCUCAACCCGUGUAUUGAUAUUAAUAUUAAUAUACUUGUAUUGGUUUUCUUAUUAUUAGCUCGACAAGUUAACACCAAUAUAGUAGCUUAGGACAGCUUGCCGUGACAGGCUAAAACAACACGGAGGUCCCUCCAUCUUGUAUUCUUGCUGAGGCCAUUUCAGGUUUAACUAGAAUUUGAUCUCCUUGAUGGAGAAUUCCAUGGAAAACUACCUAACUCUACUCUAGAAACCUGAGGUCAAGAUGCCCCAGCCAGCAUAUCUUAGCUUCUGUUAAACUGCCUGCUUGAUCAGCCCUUCAGUUCCCUGCAGCUGCCAAGUGAGAUACCAGGAUGUGGUUUUUGUCUUUAAAAAUCCCUUACCCUAAACACUCAGGGUUACACUUGGGUUCCAAAUACCUGAGUAUAGUCCCAGCCAGCUGGAAUAAAGACUUUCAAUUAGCUAUA